rnacentral:rRNA from 1 species
GAACGGUAACAGGAAGAAGCUUGCUUCUUUGCUGACGAGUGGCGGACGGGUGAGUAAUGUCUGGGAAACUGCCUGAUGGAGGGGGAUAACUACUGGAAACGGUAGCUAAUACCGCAUAACGUCGCAAGACCAAAGAGGGGGACCUUCGGGCCUCUUGCCAUCGGAUGUGCCCAGAUGGGAUUAGCUGUUGGUGGGGUAACGGCUCACCAGGCGACGAUCCCUAGCUGGUCUGAGAGGAUGACCAGCCACACUGGAACUGAGACACGGUCCAGACUCCUACGGGAGGCAGCAGUGGGGAAUAUUGCACAAUGGGCGCAAGCCUGAUGCAGCCAUGCCGCGUGUAUGAAGAAGGCCUUCGGGUUGUAAAGUACUUUCAGCGGGGAGGAAGGGAGUAAAGUUAAUACCUUUGCUCAUUGACGUUACCCGCAGAAGAAGCACCGGCUAACUCCGUGCCAGCAGCCGCGGUAAUACGGAGGGUGCAAGCGUUAAUCGGAAUUACUGGGCGUAAAGCGCACGCAGGCGGUUUGUUAAGUCAGAUGUGAAAUCCCCGGGCUCAACCUGGGAACUGCAUCUGAUACUGGCAAGCUUGAGUCUCGUAGAGGGGGGUAGAAUUCCAGGUGUACGCGGUGAAAUGCGUAGAGAUCUGGAGGAAUACCCGGUGGCGAAGGCGGCCCCCUGGACGAAGA